rnacentral:rRNA from 1 species
GACGAACGCUGGCGGCGUGCUUAACACAUGCAAGUCGAACGGAAAGGCCCUGAUUUUGUGGGGUGCUCGAGUGGCGAACGGGUGAGUAAAACGUGAGUAAAAUGCCCUUGUCUUUGGGAUAACUUCAGGAAAAUGGGGCUAAUACCGGAUAGGAGCUCCUGAUGCGUGGGGGGGGUUGGUAAGUUUCGGCGGUUGGGGCUGGACUCGCGGCUUCUCCGCUUGUUGGUCGGGUUGUUGAUUACCAGGUCUUUGACGGGUAGGCGGCCUGAGAGGGUGACCGGCCACAUUGGGACUGAGGGACGGCCCAGACUCCUACGGGAGGCAACAGGGGGGAACAUGGCACAACGGGCGGAAGCCUGAUGCAGCAACGCCGCGUUCGUGAUGACGGCUUUCGAGUUGUAAACCGCUUUCGCCUUUGACGAAGCGGGAGUGACGGUAACGGGUAAAGAAGCACCGGCUAACUACGUG